AUCGAUGAAGAACGCAGCAAGCUGCGAUACCUAGUGUGAA
rnacentral:rRNA from 1 species